CAGGGAUUGCCUCAGUAACGGCGAGUGAAGCGGCAACAGCUCAAAUUUGAAAGCUGGCCCCCCCCGGGGGUCCGCGUUGUAAUUUGUAGAGGAUGAUUCGGCGAGGGCUCCCGCCUAAGUCCCCUGGAACGGGGCGUCAUAGAGGGUGAGAAUCCCGUAUGCGGUGGGCUGCCUUAGCCAUGUGAAUCUCCUUCGACGAGUCGAGUUGUUUGGGAAUGCAGCUCUAAAUGGGAGGUAAAUUUCUUCUAAAGCUAAAUACCGGCCAGAGACCGAUAGCGCACAAGUAGAGUGAUCGAAAGAUGAAAAGCACUUUGGAAAGAGAGUUAAAAAGUACGUGAAAUUGUUGAAAGGGAAGCGCUUGCAGCCAGACUUGUCCGCAGUUGCUCAGCCGGUCUCCUGACCGGCGCACUCUUCUGCGGCCAGGCCAGCAUCAGUUCGGGCGGUCGGAUAAAGGCCCCGGGAACGUAGCUCCUCUCGGGGAGUGUUAUAGCCCGGGGUGGAAUGCGGCCAGCCUGGACUGAGGAUCUCGCUUCGGCUAGGAUGCUGGCGUAAUGGCUGUAAGCGGCCCGUCUUGAAACACGGACCAAGGAGUCUAACAUCUAUGCGAGUGUUUGGGUGUCAAACCCAUGCGCGUAAUGAAAGUGAACGGAGGUGGGAACCCUCGCGGGUGCACCAUCGACCGAUCCUGAUGUCUUCGGAUGGAUUUGAGUAAGAGCAUAGCUGUUGGGACCCGAAAGAUGGUGAACUAUGCCUGAAUAGGGUGAAGCCAGAGGAAACUCUGGUGGAGGCUCGCAGCGGUUCUGACGUGCAAAUCGAUCGUCAAAUUUGGGUAUAGGGGCGAAAGACUAAUCGAACCAUCGACUACUAGGUGGUUAAGAGGUGGCUGAAAGUGCCCACCUAGUCCCCCCGUCCGAGGACGGGGGGGCGACAUCGCCAAAUUGCGGGGACUCCCUUAGAGCCUCUACUACCGCGGCCGGCCGAAAGGCGCGGUGCAGCACCGGGUUAAUUGCCUAGGGUACGGUAAAAAGGUAGAGGAUUGGGAAAUCCGCAGCCAAGCGCCUAAGUCCCGCGGGAUACGGCGAAGGUUCAGAGACUAGAUGGCGGUGGGUCCGGCCCGAGGGCCGGGCCUAAGGUAUAGUCCACCCCCCGCGGAGACGCGGGCG
rnacentral:rRNA from 1 species